GACGUAGGGCGCGAGCGUUGUCCGGAUUUAUUGGGCGUAAAGAGCUCGUAGGCGGCUUGUCGCGUCGUCUGUGAAAUCCCGUGGCUCAACUGCGGGCUGGCAGUCGAUACGGGCAGGCUGGAGUUCGGUAGGGGAGACUGGAAUUCCUGGUGUAGCGGUGAAAUGCGUAGAUAUCUGGAGGAACACCGGUGGCGAAGGCGGCAUCCUGGACCGGUAUUGACGCUGAGGCGCGAAAGCUAGGGGAGCAAACAGG
rnacentral:rRNA from 1 species